rnacentral:rRNA from 1 species
AGAGUUUGAUCAUGGCUCAGAUUGAACGCUGGCGGCAGGCCUAACACAUGCAAGUCGAGCGGCAGCACGGGUACUUGUACCUGGUGGCGAGCGGCGGACGGGUGAGUAAUGCCUAGGAAUCUGCCUGGUAGUGGGGGAUAACGCUCGGAAACGGACGCUAAUACCGCAUACGUCCUACGGGAGAAAGCAGGGGACCUUCGGGCCUUGCGCUAUCAGAUGAGCCUAGGUCGGAUUAGCUAGUUGGUGAGGUAAUGGCUCACCAAGGCGACGAUCCGUAACUGGUCUGAGAGGAUGAUCAGUCACACUGGAACUGAGACACGGUCCAGACUCCUACGGGAGGCAGCAGUGGGGAAUAUUGGACAAUGGGCGAAAGCCUGAUCCAGCCAUGCCGCGUGUGUGAAGAAGGUCUUCGGAUUGUAAAGCACUUUAAGUUGGGAGGAAGGGCAGUUACCUAAUACGUGAUUGUUUUGACGUUACCGACAGAAUAAGCACCGGCUAACUCUGUGCCAGCAGCCGCGGUAAUAC